CGGGGGAACCCGGAUUCGCAUCUUGGUAUCUUUCUUCUUUUGACUAGCCAUGGACACGGUACGUACACUACUGAACUUUAUGGAAUAUGGAACUUUAUACAACACACAGCUUCGCCAUCCAAGGGAUUCCACCGCUUCAGAAAUUCAUAGAAGAUAUUAAUAUGUAUCACACGGCAGAAAAAUCGUUGUGUUAACAACAACUAAUACGAAAAACAACAGUUUAUUAGUUACAUGGAUCUAAUUUUCACAAUCCUUUGAUUUUUGUCAAUUGGCAGAUUUUUCUAAUUUCUA